GCUUUCUUGUGGGAGAGUUAGCACCAAGACCCUCAUGGUCUGAGGGAACACAGAGGCUCUUGGGGGGUGGGGGUCAGGGGUUCUGGUCCUUGGAAUGCUGGUCAUAAAGGAAUGAUCUCCCUUGGCAAGUAUGCAGCCUUUGUUUCUCUGCCUGCUUAAGUCAAGCUUCUUUCUGUGAGGUAGCGGAUGCACAUUGCUGCCUAGCCCGCCGCCAUGGGACCUUCCCUCACGUUUAUUUCAGGACAGGAAGCAAAUGCAGCCUCACUCAGACAUGUGACUGGAAAAGACAAGGAUAUUUUAAAAUCUUUUACAUAACUGAGAAUAUUCUUCUUCGAUACUAAACGGAAACCUGGGAACAGGUGGUUUCUUAAAGGAUAAGAUUGCAUCUCUGAGUCCAUUCAAACAGUCAAGGGUAAAGGAGAAAUAAAGCACUUGGUCAGAUUGUCAGAAGCAAGCUGACAUUGAUAAAGAAGUUCGCGGAGUUUGUCUGUGGCGGUGCUUUUGACUCCAGUGCUAAAGGAUUGUCAACAAGGAUUAAUAUUCAUGGAAAACAAGAACUGCCGUGUAAUGCAGGUAGGCUCACUCACAGUGGCAUCCUCGCAGUCACCUGUGUGCUAGUGAGUGACCUGGGAUUUUUCUCCUCUUCCACCAAGUCAACUUUAGCCCAACAACCUCAAAACGAAUGAGCAACCACUGAUUUUCCAUGUUAAGUAUGCCUUAGCUAUCAUUAUAGCAUUAUUUGACUCUUAAUUACAAUCCGUGAUGUCAGAAAAAUACCUCACGUUACCUCCUUCUCUACUCUGGCAUUUGAAAACCUCAGAACUGUAAUUAAAAUGCAAAAAGAAAAAAAGUGUUACCAUAACAUAAAAGCCUUCACAGUUCAGGCAAUAUUUCCUCGUCUUCUAUUCAUUUUUCCCAAUUUUCUCUGCAUGAAUCGAUGUUGUCAAUAUAGUUUCAAUUAUGUUAAAUACAAGCAAUAAAUGGUGUCUACGCAGGUGUUUGUCCAAGCAAUAUUAUAUAACUAAGAAAGCUUCUUAUUUUAUUCUAUUUUAUUUAUUCUACUCUUAUUUAGUGGAAUUAUUCUUUUUCCUUCUCAGCCCUGUGCCUCAUGGUAUGGAGGACAGAACACCUACUCUUCCAUGCUGCCCUACAUGUUUGAAAAUGAAGAUGAUGACUCUGUGUGUGUGUGUGUGUGUGUGUGUGUGUGUGUGUGUGUGUGUGUUGUGGGGAGGGAUAUUUGUCUUCAGGCCACUGUGGCUCACUGAUAAAGUGUCAGCAGCUAAAUUUUCAAGUAUCCUUCCUAUUUUCAGAGUGAAGACAAUGAUCUCAGCAUGGUGCCCUAACUCUGCUCCCAAAGUCUCCUUAGAAGUGAGCCCAGAGAUGGUGGGAGACUUACCUUUUGUCCACUCGUCAGCCAUUCUUCUCUCUUUCCCAAACAGUGUGUUUGAAACUGUGUCCUAAUUACAGUUUGAUAAGUAUUCAUUGAUUUGUUGAUUGCUUCUUUCUUUAUUUUGUAUAUAGAUUCAUUCAUUCCUUUGUAUGAAAUUAGUUAAUUCAUAAACUUGGUUAAUAUUUAUUACUUUUUUAAUAUGACACAGGCACUAAAAUAAGUAAAAGCAUCUCAAAAAUGAAAACAAAAAUAAGUCUCUGUCCUUCAAGAUCUUCCAGUGAGGGAUAAAUACAGGUUGGCUCAAUUUUUUAAAUAUUUGCAAUACGAAAAUACCAAAUAUGAUU
rnacentral:lncRNA from 1 species